GCUGGCUGACACUCACACAAGCACAAAAAACCAAAAAGUAAUAAUAAUUUCACAACUUUUAAAGUUAUUCUGUAUCAAUUUCGUCUUCCUCCUUCUUCUAGGGUUUCUACAUUUUCUCGUUUUUUCCAUUUCUGGAAACCGUUAAAGGUGUCUCUUCUUGUUCCUUGGGGCGAAAUGGAGACAGGUGAAGCGUACCAGAAGAAAGAGCGAGCUUCACUUGUAGCUAUUGUCGUUCUUGCUUGCCUUGCUCUGUCAUCUUUGUUCGUCGCCUUUAGCUACUACUGCUAUAUCCGUAACAAAGUUUCCAAGCGUCACAGAAUCAACAAGAAGUUUGACUGCGAGGAGAAAGGUGAUUGUCAAGAACAACAAGAAGUUACUGACAAGGGGAUACAGGUUUUCACUUUCAAGCAACUACAUUCCGCGACUGGUGGGUUUAGCAAGUCGAAUGUGGUUGGUCACGGUGGGUUUGGAUUGGUUUAUCGUGGUGUCCUUAGCAACGGGAGAAAAGUUGCUAUCAAGUUUAUGGAUAAUGCAGGAAAGCAAGGUGAAGAAGAGUUCAAGAUGGAGGUUGAGUUACUGAGCCGUCUGCGCUCACCGUACUUGUUGGCCCUUCUUGGUUAUUGCUCAGACAAUAGUCACAAACUGCUUGUUUAUGAGUUCAUGGCCAAUGGCUGUCUGCAGGAACACCUCUAUCCUAAUAACAGGUCUGGUUCUGUCCCAUUGAGAUUAGAUUGGGAAACUCGGAUGAGAAUAGCUCUGGAAGCUGCAAAAGGCUUGGAGUAUCUCCAUGAACAUGUAACACCUCCAGUGAUUCACCGAGACUUCAAGAGCAGCAAUGUUCUGCUUGACAGAAACCUCCACGCCAAAGUCUCAGACUUCGGAUUGUCUAAAGUCGGGUCAGAUAAAGCUGGUGGAUAUGUUGCUCCUGAGUAUGCUUUAACCGGCCACUUGACUACAAAAUCAGAUGUCUAUAGCUACGGCAUUGUCCUGUUAGAGCUACUAACCGGGAGGGUUCCGGUAGAUAUGAAGAGAGCUGCUGGAGAAGGAGUUCUUGUAUCUUGGGCUUUGCCUCAACUGGCUGAGAGAGAUAAAGUGGUGGACGUAAUGGAUCCAGCACUGGAAGGGCAGUACUCGGCCAAAGAGGUUGUUCAGGUUGCAGCAAUAGCAGCAAUGUGUGUUCAAGAAGAAGCUGAUUACAGACCGUUGAUGGCAGAUGUGGUGAAGUCAUUGGUUCCUUUAGUGAGAAGCCGUGGGUCAGGUUCAAAGCUAAGUGGAUGCUCUCCUAACUCACCCGGUAAAGCAAGCGUCGGUUCUCAGUAAAAUCAAAGAAAACUAACGAAUUGUAUAAUGUAACAUCAACUCUGGAGACCGUCUCACCAGAGCCUCUAAGGCGACGAGGAUAACCAAAAAGGAAACUUUCUUCCAUUGCACGAACCACAGAGAUUAGCUCUAACGCGAAGAGAUCAUUCACUGUCCUGUCUCCGGCAAGAUCUGAGCUAACACCGGGAGAAUAAUCUCCUCUUGUCGGGUUGAGAAUGACGAAUCUACAGAGAGGACACUGUCCUUUGCUUUUCAACCAUGGAACUAUACAUUCCUCAUGAAACAUAUGUUUGCAAGGAGUUACCAUCACUGUUUCCUUGGGCUCAAAGUCUUCUAAACACACUGUGCAUCUCUUUUCAUCGUCUUCUUCACCAGAGUAACCUUGAGGGCUUCUUGAGUUUUCGCUUCCCGGGUUCUUGUUCCUGUAGUAUAAGCUCAGGUUUCUGAGGAGCUGGCUUUUCCGGACAGGGUUAUAUGUCUGUUUUGUUAGAUGUUUCAGAACAUGGUAUUCUUCUCUGGCUUGUGAUGCUGCAGAUCUUGAGUUGCUCUCGUGUGUAUGGUGUUGGUUGUGAACGGCUUGCCUUAGUGCCUCCAGGUGUUGCCUCCGUAAGUUGUUGCUGGUUCGGAUUGGAGUCUGAUGUGAUAUUGAAUCUCUGCCAAGAACAACGGUUUUCAAAGACUAAAACUAUUGGAAACAUAUAAAAAGCAAGAAGAUAUAAGAUAGCGAUGAUGAUCUAAUGAGUAAGUACACGUUUGAUGUAGCUGUUGAUGAGUAAGUGGAUUGAGGAUCAUCGAGCAAACGCCUAUUAGCUAUCUGAAAGAGAACACCAAAACAUCAAAACACCAUUAAAGGAAGGCUAAAACAUUCUUUGCCAUUACUCUACUGACCAAAUCACUCAUGGACCAAGCGUUCCGUGAAGAGAAAGAAGGAACUGGCCGACCCAAGGAUCUUGUAACCAAGCCAUAUCUAUUGGAUUGAUUUGGAGCAUCAGAAUAGCCAUUUCUGACAUUAUUGCUCAUAGCUGAAUGAAUGGUCUUUCUUGUAACAGAGAAGAGAUGUCUUUGUAUUGUAAUGCAGACUUAGUUUAUAUU